rnacentral:rRNA from 1 species
UACGGGGGGAGCAAGCGUUGUUCGGAUUUACUGGGCGUAAAGGGCGCGUAGGCGGUCGUGACAAGUCACUUGUGAAAUCUCCGGGCUUAACUCGGAACGGUCAAGUGAUACUGUCGGACUAGAGUACAGAAGGGGCAACUGGAAUUCUCGGUGUAGCGGUGAAAUGCGUAGAUAUUGAGAGGAACACCUGCGGCGAAGGCGGGUUGCUGGGCUGAUACUGACGCUGAGGCGCGAAAGCCAGGGAGCGAACGGG